AUUUCGUUAGCUUUUAAAGUUUAUCAGUUUCUUCUCCUCAGCUCCUUCGCCUUGUCAGUACUCUGCAAGUGGUCCUGGGAGAGUCUGACCACAUGCCUGCUCUCUCCACUGUUAGGUGUUAAAGAGCAGGCAUCUCUUUGGAAUAACUUUGUGAAGCUGAUUAUACACAAUGGACCAGAGUCGUGGAUAGGAAGUGCAAGCCUUGCUGAAAUCUCUGGGCUCAUCUCAAGAACAGAUUGAACCCUGAGUACAUGUGGGAAGGAGCUGGAUGAGUAAAGAGGUACGAGAGGAGGUGAGGCAGCAACUCUGAUGGCCAUGGCAGCAGCACUCCUUUAUUAGCAGCAUGUUGGCAAAAUGGGCUGUGCAGCAGUUUCCUAGUUCAGAAAGGCUGGGCUUGAGUUGGUCUUUGUGGUCUAUGCACUUUCAUUCUCCUCAUACAGAAUUACAAAGGGGCAGAUUAUUUUUAAUGAAGUUUGGAUACCAUUUCAGCUUCAGGCUGAAGCGUUUCACACAUUGCUUAAACCUUUAGCACUUCAAAGGGGACGAACGUUGUCCCUGUGUCAAGGUGCACAGCAGCCAAAUGCUCACUGUGCCUUAAUGCUGUUAAUGACAGUUCUUCAGCAAUGCUCCCGGCGGGCUGGAUCCCUGCUGUACACCGCACAGCUUUUCCUUUCACCAGCUUAGGGUUCAGCUUUCACACCUCCCUCUGCUUUAUGUCUGCCUUUUGUUUUGCUCGUUAUGUAUCUCUGGGCAGGCGGCGCAGCAGCCUCGUUAACGCAGCACUCAGUGCACGUUCAGGGCUGCCAGCCAAGAGCUCCAAGCAGCACCAAACCUUUCUGCGCACCCAGGGCUGGCAGCAGGGAAGGAUCAGUCCUUCGGGGUCUCCAUGCCCUGACGCCGUGCCACCCACACAGCCAUGCCUUUGUCCCACGUGCAAUGCUAAGUGUCUGUUCUGUGACGAUCGCACCCUGCAGCCUUAUCUCAGCACUCUGCAGCCUUAUCUUUAGUGCUCUGGCAUCUGUUUGCCCUACAUAACGGGUGAAUCCUCUCUACUUUCACCUAUUUUCCCAGAAAUCACAGCCAUCACACGCAGUGAGUUCGCAUUACACAAAACCGCACGCUGCCAGGGAAACAUGAGGAGUCGUCCUUUAAAAAUACUUUUCAGUGCCGCAUGACUCACAUAACCGUCCUUAAUCACCAGAAAAGCGCAAAUGGCCACCGAGUCCCUAGGAGUUAUUUCGAGCACGCCAGACACGCGGCCCGAUAUGGGCGUGGAGGGCACAUAGCUGGGUUAGGCGCAGCCCCGGUGUUGAAAACAUAAUUGCAAUAAUGACAGGUAGAGCUGGAGGAGGCGGCGAGGGGCCACAGCCCAGCGCUCGCCUCGUGGCCGCGAC